rnacentral:tRNA from 2 species
GGACGUGUCGCCAAGUUGGCCUAAGGCACCUGCUUUACACGCAGGCAUUCGGGAGUUCGAAUCUCUCCACGUCUAC